AUAUGGUUGCCUACGUCACAAUGCAGGCAUAUUAUAAGUUCUCACCUCAGCCAGAGCAGUAGCCCAAUGCAGGUUUUUAGGAGUAGGUGAACAAUCUGUUUGCAGCAGUAGCAGCAACAAUGGCCCCAACCAUCCACAUGAAGAACGCCAGCAACAAAACCUAAACACAAUUAGAAACAGCAGCAAUAACAUUUAGCAAAACUAACCAGUCGACCCACCCAGCCGCAGCUCAAUCUGCGCUUGUUCCUCGUCGUUCAGCGCGGCAACAGCUACAAUAAACAUCGCUGGCUCCGACAGUAGAAUUUAAUUAAAAGCUUUUCCAUCUGCCCGGCUUGCUCACUGGACACUGAAAAUGCCCGCGGCAAAAACAGAAGCAAAAAAAAAAAUGUAAUAAUAAACGAAAAAUAUUAAAAAACAAGACGAAAACGGUAAA